AGCGAACGCUGGCGGCAGGCCUAACACAUGCAAGUCGAACGAAGUCUUCGGACUUAGUGGCGGACGGGUGAGUAACACGUGGGAACGUACCUUUUGGUUCGGAACAACUCAGGGAAACUUGAGCUAAUACCGGAUGAGCCCUUCGGGGGAAAGAUUUAUCGCCAUUAGAGCGGCCCGCGUUAGAUUAGCUAGUUGGUGAGGUAAAGGCUCACCAAGGCUACGAUCUAUAGCUGGACUGAGAGGAUGAUCAGCCACACUGGGACUGAGACACGGCCCAGACUCCUACGGGAGGCAGCAGUGGGGAAUCUUGCGCAAUGGGCGAAAGCCUGACGCAGCCAUGCCGCGUGGAUGAUGAAGGUCUUAGGAUUGUAAAAUUCUUUUACCAGGGACGAUAAUGACGGUACCUGGAGAAAAAGCCCCGGCUAACUUCGUGCCAGCAGCCGCGGUAA
rnacentral:rRNA from 1 species